AACAGAGAGAAGGUUCAGACGUUAAAACAAAAAAAUACAUGCUUCAGUUUCAGACUUGAAAAGUAGAACUGUCGAGUCAUACUGACGAUGAAUAUGUAACACGAACUGUUUACUCUAUGGAUUGAGUAUGAUCUUUCAAGUAAUCGGGGUCGCGUCUAGAAUUUUGCAGGUCGUUUUAGCAAGAGGAACAUCGCCAUCGUGACGAUGUAACGUAAUUUGCGUGUCAUCAUGAAACGAAGUACAACGAAAGGAUUGGUGAAAGAGAGUGCCCCGGCAGUUAAUCAACCUGCAAAUAAAUGCGGAAGUCGCAGAACGGGUCUACGUAAUAUCCCUGCGGCUGUUGGGCAACUUGAAGCUUUCCACGAUGUUUCUUCUUUUCACAUCGGUUACGAUAUUCGAUCGAUACGCAAUCAGAGAGUAUCGCAUAAGAAGAAAAAGGUUACUAACUAAAAGUCAAUGAAGAUGAACGCAAAUGACCGCUACUAUAGACUUGUUGAAUUAAAAAGUGCAGGAUAAGAAAGAGAGAAAAGAGGAAGAGGGCCUGGUGUACGAUCUUGAAAUCUAAACGAGUGUCGUUUCCUAGAAGGAACCCGGUUUCGACGGCACGUUCUUUAAUUGGACGCACGAGACACACGUCGAGGAUAGUCAGUUAGUCAGACAGGUAGUAGAGCUUUCUUCGCAAACUUUCACUCGUAAGUAAACGACUCCUACACGACACACCGGUAUCUGAGAGAGUUCAAGAACCCUGUCGCGCGCGGACAGUGAAUUCUAGCACAGUGAUUUCCUCGAGAGAGGCUCAUGUAUUCGAGAACGCGGUUGAGAAACAAGUGUAUCAUUACUAGCGGCCACCUUUUUUUUUUUCUCUCUUGUAUUUCUUCUUUUAAAUUGAUUCUCUUACGAAAGUUUCUCGUACUACUUCAAGAUUUUCUUUUUGGUUUCUUAUGAAAAAGUGUUUGGUAAGUUUUAGAGUUGUUAUACAGGACGAUUCAGAAUGAAGCGUAACAAACUCUGUUUUCAUCUUAUACAUAUAUGCCAUUUUAUAAAUCUCCCUAGCUCUUAACCCCCGAAGGACCGAAUUUCAAGUUGAGUCGGAUUGAGAGUCGAUCCAAAGUAGAUUUCCGCUGAUAGGAAAUUAUUCUUAGCAUCCCUUUUCUACGUUAUCAGAUUCAGUUCGCCGAGACACUUGAAUUCUAUAAAAAGGCACAUCCGGGAAAUCAUUGAUUCGAUCGAGAAAAAAAACGAAAGGAACGACAAAAGCGUCAAGGUCUCGGAGAUGGAAAUGAAUUCAGGAGACCCGAUGUGUUAUCGUACGAUCGAUUGGUCCAACUACGGAGGAUGUCAAGAACGGUUGAUAAAAAAAUUAGACGCGUCAUUCGUGGAUGGCAAAUAAAUAAAUAUCAAUUGAAAUUUUCUCACGAUUCGAUCGCGAGUAUAUGUACAUCUUUUUUGAUUCGAUCUGUAUACGUCGGCGCAUACUCUAAUCAUUAGAGUCGAGUGUAAUGCAAUCACAGAGACGUCUGGACUCGACUUCUGGGGAGGUGGAACGAACCACGCGUUUCCUAAUUAUACCAGCAUUUCAAAAUCUCCCCAGCCGAUGAACCAAUAUGCUUUUCUGGCUUGCAACAUUUCCCCCGCGUGUCUCUCUCCUCUCUUGUAUGUAUCUCGUUGAUCUUUCCUUCUCGCUUCUCCUUAUUCUACGCGCGGGAGCAGUUCGUCAAGCGACAGGAAUGCGAGCGCAACGCGUGAUUAGCCAACUCUGAGCCGACACACGAAACGGUCUCUCGUAAGCUCUUAUCAUUGUUCGCGCCAACAGUCACGUUCAACCGCGAGAACACACCUUACGAAUAGCUCGACGUGGCGUGGCGCGAUCCGUUCGUUCCUUGAAUUCAUUUCAAUUGCGUUCUAUCCAACCAAGAGAUGCAACCCUUUCCUGGAGGUGACACGAUGAUACGAGGAAUGGAAUUCUAGCCAGUAGGGCUUUUGUCGUUUGAUAACCAACUGUCGUGUCAGCAUCAUCGGGCUGUGGCUACUAUCACAGUAUUUUCAGAUCUCUUAGCACAACCCCAUACUCGUGACACGUAGCCACGGCCCUGGCGGCUUGCCGGAAAAGCCGCCUCGCCUCCGGUUCCCG